UCUUGAUCUGAGGCUGGCGACAUGCCGUGUUAUGUGUAGGGAGCCUAUGCAUACCACUAUCCCAAACCUCCGGGUUCAUAGCUUAAGGACCUCAAAGAUUCGGGACUUCAAGAAUGAUAUGUAUGUGACGCAUCUGAAUAACACUAUCCAUACAUUUCCUAACAACAUCGUGAGGUUAGAAGAUGAAGCAAAUGAGAUUAGCUUACGUCAGCUGAACUUUCAUGACAUAAAUAAAAGAUCUUUGUGGAGUUAUUGGUAUACUGAUGGUCAUUUCAAGAAAGACACAGGUUUCAUGUCUCGUCAAGUGGUGAAGCAUUCCCAGUUUUCUGAGCAAGUAGGAGUUUAUGAUUAUGUUCCCUUGUUGCAUUCUACAUGUUCUGAACUAUUUGAUGAGGGACCUAAUGACAUCCGACGUUUUCUGAAAGAUAACGGAUAUAUCACAGGACAAUAUUAUGAUUCGAAGAGUUUUGCAGAUGUUCUCAAGUGGUAUUUCAACGGGCAUGAUGUUUAUAUCACGUUCAAACAACAUCCUCAAGACUUGUACAUUUAUUUGGAUGAGAUUGCGAUACUACUCCGCACUUGCGGUAGGAUGAUCAACCAUCCCAUGGUCCCGCUAAUACCUGAUGGGAAGUUUAUGCUCCGCCAUAUUUAGCCAGUGAUUAUCUGUUUUUAAGUUCAGUACUAUAUGUAGAGGAUGAUAUGCAGCAAGCAUUUGAUACUUUGGCAUCCUGCAACACUAUUUUGGCAGCCUUAUUUUAGAAACUUUAUUGUCAAACUUCUACAUUAAGUUAUGUUAUAUUUUGGUAGCACUUUUCAUAUGCCAUAUUUUAGGUGUUUGAACACUCUUAUCAGCUAAACAAAGUAAGUUAAAAGUAGCCAACUAAGUGCUCUUCAUGGCAAUAUCAGUUUUCUGAGCAGAUUGAUCAGGUUCUGUGACAAACACAUAAAAUUUGAAAUCUUGCUCCAGUUCCUGAUGCUUGAAAGCUCUUUUCUGUUGAUGUUCCUUUAUUCAGCUCCCCAGUACUUGAUCUAUCUCUUUCGCCUUGUUCUUCAUUUUUGGCUUGUUAUAGAGCUCCUUGAUGAAAAGGUUGGCUUCUGAUUCCUGAACUUGCAUGAAAAUAUCCAGUCUAUGAACAGAUAAAGUUUCAACCAUCACUAGGUCUCCAUAUAUAGCUUCAUUUAUCAAUAUGGCAGUUAAUAUGUUGAAUAACAACCAUAUCUUUCCUCUUUUUCAGGUUGGAAGAGGAUUUAAAAUGGCAACAGUACUUAAUUUGCUGUUAGUAAGGUAAUUUGAAGAACAGUCACAUUGAGGCUUAUGCUCCUGUUUAUGGAGCUUCUCUGUUGCUUCUGUAGUUGAUAAUGUUCAGGCACAGAUUAACAUUGAGUGAAAUUUUUGAAUUAGAUCAUGCUACUUUGAAAUCUGACAGACAAAGAAUGUAAAAGAUUCACACGCAUAAGCGACGGAGUUGCAUGUUCUGAGGGAUCGGUUUUCUGUUCUUGAUAUAUUUCCUGUCAUAUCCUUCCUUGGCGAGAAGAGUCUUGAGGGCUCAACGCCCUAUGGAGGCAUGAGUGUGGGAGUAUUUGAAUUUUCAGAAGAGAGCCUUGCUCAUUACAGCAAACAAUGGGGUAGAUCAAAGCUAGUCACUACUGAAUUCAGAUACAACUAUGCAUGAACCUUAAAUGAAACCAAAACAACACUAGCAAUUUAAUUAAGCAGUUCAUAAAUAUAUAAAAUCAACUCACUGAUAUCAGAAUAUGACAAGUUGUUAUUAAGAUAUGUAUCCAGUGCAGUUUCUGAAUCGAAACCAAUAUAUUAGCUGUUUAUAUGAAUCCCAAAUUGAACUCUACAUCAAAUAAACAAAACAUACAGUUCGUAAAAAAUGAUAGAGACUUCUUCAAAGCUUUGUUCACUCAGCUUCCUCCACAGCUGCUUCGAUUCUCAGAAGAACAAAUCCAAUCACGACCCCGACUAGAGUUAAGCCAUUUAUCACUGCAGCAAUCCUGAAAAUCUCAGCCACUGCAUUGCAGGUUGAAGUAAGUGCACCUCCACCUCCACUUCUCUGGUUCGAAUGCUUCAGUGAGUAAGCAAAGUUUGCGAAAGAUUGUUCAGUGCAGACCGGAAGGCCUAAUGCCACAACAUUGUUCUGAGCUUUUAGUCCACCAAAUGAGUUCAA